AAUCUUCCACAAUGGGCGAAAGCCUGAUGGAGCAACGCGGCGUGUGUGAAGAAGGUUNNNGGAUCNUAAAACUCUGUUGUUAGNGAGNAACAAUUAUCGUUCGAAUAGGGCGGUACCUUGACGGUACCUAACCAGAAACCCACGGCUAACUACGUGCCAGCAGCCGCGGUAAUACGUAAGUGGCAAGCGUUAUCCGGAAUUAUUGGGCGUAAAGCGCGGGCAGGCGGUUUCGUAAGUCUGAUGUGAAAGCCCACGGCUCAACCGUGGAGGGUCACUGGAAAAUGGGAAGCUUGAGUGCAGAAGAGGAGAGUGGAAUUCCAUGUGUAGCGGUGAAAUGCUUAGAGAUAUGGAGGAACACCAGUGGCGAAGGCGACUCUCUGGUCUGCAACUGACGCUGAGGCGCGAAAGCGUGGGGAGCGAACA
rnacentral:rRNA from 1 species